UGCCGCGUGCGGGAAGAAGGCCUUCGGGUUGUAAACCGCUUUUGUCAGGGAAGAAACGGCUUUUUCUAAUACAGAGAGCUAAUGACGGUACCUGAAGAAUAAGCACCGGCUAACUACGUGCCAGCAGCCGCGGUAAUACGUAGGGUGCAAGCGUUAAUCGGAAUUACUGGGCGUAAAGCGUGCGCAGGCGGUUAUGCAAGACAGAUGUGAAAUCCCCGGGCUCAACCUGGGAACUGCAUUUGUGACUGCAUAGCUAGAGUACGGUAGAGGGGGAUGGAAUUCCGCGUGUAGCAGUGAAAUGCGUAGAUAUGCGGAGGAACACCGAUGGCGAAGGCAAUCCCCUGGACCUGUACUGACGCUCAUGCACGAAAGCGUGGGGAGCAAACAGGAUUAGAUACCCUGGUAGUCCACGCCCUAAACGAUGUCAACUGGUUGUUGGGAGGGUUUCUUCUCAGUAACGAAGCUAACG
rnacentral:rRNA from 1 species